UUUUUCCCCUUGGCGUCAGGCGCCACAACCACUCCGUCCCCCCUUUUAAUCCCUCUCCAGAUCCCCACCAAAACCCUAGCCUUCCUUCCCUCCUCGCGCCGCCAUCCUCUCCACCCUCCCUGUCUUUUACUUUCACGAACACAGAGUGCCCCAAAACGUCCACCUCCACAGACCACCAUGGCGCCGGUGCUGUAGAGCAUGCCUCGCCGUUCCGAGGGCACCGACGGAUGCGCCUCAUCGUCCUCGUCAUCUACGUGCAAGGAAUUGUCCCAAGAUGCCCGUAAUCAAACACAAACUCGCCGUUUCUCCUCCAACACCCGCGGUGAAAUACUUCGAUUUCGCCCUCCACCCUCCUUCCCCGUCGUCUCUGGGCAUGAAUUCACGCUCCUGGUGCUCGUUGCCGGCGGCCCUCCGGUGGUUCCCCGGCGCCAAGACCGCCACCAGCAGGUUCCCCAUGUUCUUGCGCGUCGAACGCGCCCUCUCGCUCGUCCCGGUUCGCCCGAUAUCUCCAGAUCGAAGUUAGUCUGUAAGCUCCGCCAUGGCCAGUUCUUGUUCUUCCCAGAGUUUCCGCUAAAGUCUGGGUCAAAUACAGCGCGUCCAAUUCAUCGACACAAUUACCUUGCAGCGCAGUGAUCUGGCGCCGCCAAUGGGCUCGGCCCAGAUCCUCUCCGGGAGCGGCCCGUCGCAUGCGCAAGCGUAGCCCAGUUUUCUCACCAACGCAACAACAGAUCAUAUCCCGGCCCAACGCCCUCUCUGGUUAUUCCUAGUUCUUUUCUUUUUGCAGAAAAUGUAUAUAUCUUGUUAAAUUCAU